CCCUUAGAUGUCCGGGGCUGCACGCGCGCUACACUGAAGGAAUCAGCGUGCUAAAACCAUUGUCGAAAGGCAUUGGUAAACCCAUUAAAAUCCUACGUGAUCGGGAUCGGGAAUUGCAAUUAUUUCCCUUGAACGAGGAAUUCCCAGUAAGUGUGGGUCAUAAGCUCGCGUUGAUUACGUCCCUGCCCUUUGUACACACCGCCCGUCGCUGCCCGGGACUGAGCCGUUUCGAGAAAAGCGGGGACUGCUGCUGUCGGGGCUUUCGGGCCUUGGCUUCGGUGGAAACCGCUUUAAUCGCAGUGGCUUGAACCGGGCAAAAGUCGUAACA
rnacentral:rRNA from 1 species